rnacentral:rRNA from 1 species
GAUGAACGCUGGCGGCGUGCUUAACACAUGCAAGUCGAACGGUGAAAGAGAGCUUGCUCUCUGGAUCAGUGGCGAACGGGUGAGUAACACGUGAGCAAUCUGCCUGUGACUCUGGGAUAAGCGCUGGAAACGGCGUCUAAUACCGGAUACGAGCUGCGAAGGCAUCUUCAGCAGCUGGAAAGAACUUCGGUCAAGGAUGAGCUCGCGGCCUAUCAGCUAGUUGGUGAGGUAACGGCUCACCAAGGCGUCGACGGGUAGCCGGCCUGAGAGGGGGACCGGCCACACUGGGACUGAGACACGGCCCAGACUCCUACGGGAGGCAGCAGUGGGGAAUAUUGCACAAUGGGCGCAAGCCUGAUGCAGCAACGCCGCGUGAGGGACGACGGCCUUCGGGUUGUAAACCUCUUUUAGCAGGGAAGAAGCGAAAGUGACGGUACCUGCAGAAAAAGCACCGGCUAACUACGUGCCAGCCGCCGCAGUAAGAC